rnacentral:lncRNA from 12 species
GAUUUAGAAGCGUUCAAUAGAUUAUUGAGCCACGCUGCGCCCUCUGCCGGUAUAAAGUUGAUACUUCACCGCCUGAGUUUUUAUUGUCUCUUCCAGGUGUUUGAAUAUUUUGUCUUCAAUGCCGCUGACAGACCGACAGCUUUGACUUCAGCCUUUAGCAGCCAUUAGACUCAUCAUUUCUCCAAAUAUUUAUACGUCUAUCAAUCCCACAGGUGUCCGAGGGUGAUGCGGAGCGUGUGUGUGAGCCGUGGUUUGGCGACCCGACCCGAGCGCUUGUGACGGGGGUCAUGGGACUGCUGCUGCCCCCUGUCCGUCUCUCAGUCCGCCCCGCUGCCUCCAGAGGCCCCAGGGUCCUACGCUCCCUAAGGUUCCAGCCCAGUCCUGAAAACAGCACAGCCGGUGGUGAUUUUCGGUCUUGCUUCUGAGGAUAAUGUCUGAAUCUUCUCUGGACACCAGAAGUUGUGACGUUAUGAAGGUUCUGGAGAGUGACGCGCCGCACAUGGCCGGACCGCCCGCGUCCCUCAACGAUCCCCAACACGUGCCCCAGAACAACGGCACACACGCCCAGGAGUGUGUGACAGACCAAAGUUCCCCCCAUCAAACUCAGCUCGUCCAAUCAGCACAGACUAUUAAACGGUCCAAGUCCAACGGCAAGUUAAAGUUAGUCCGCAGCUUGGCGGUGUGUGAGGAGCCGUCUCCGCCUCCGCUCCGAGAACUGACGCACGAACAGGUAAACGUGUGUGUGUGGGUGUGUGUACAGACUAGCAUACUAUUUACUUUUUAGCUUAUGUGACUUAGUUAACUUGCUAAUUCACCAACAUUUGUGUACAUAGUACAUUUGUGGGGUUUUUAAUGUUUUUGAAAGAAAUCUCUCCAAGGCUGAAUUUAUUUGAUUAAAAAUACAGUAAUAUUGUGAGAAAUUAUUACAAAUCUAAAUAAUUUUUUUCUAUUUGAUUAUAUUUUAAAAUAUAGUUUAUUCCUAUGAUGCAAAGCUGAAUUUUCAGCAUCAUUACUCCAGUCUUCAGUGUCACAUGAUCCUUCAGAAAUCAUUCUGAUAUGCUGAUCUAUUAUAAUGAAAAAAAUUAAGCUUUUUUUUUUUAAUUUGUCUGAAUUUAUAGCUCUUAAACUAGUGUGUAAAUAUAAUAUUACAUUUCUAUUUUCUAAAUUUCUUUUUUCUGUUACACAAAUGAUUUUAUAUUUAAUUUAGCAUUUAUUAAUUUAUUAUAGUUAAUAUAUAAUACUAUUUAAUUUACUGAUUUUU